rnacentral:rRNA from 1 species
AUGACCAAAAAUAACUUGCUCAAAAGGGGAAUUGAAAAACCCCCGGAAUGUGUUUUCUGUCUAGAGCAAGAAACGGUUGAUCAUUUGUUUUUUGAUUGUGUGGUUGCCAAGAAAAUCUGGAGUGAUAUUUCAAAAUUCUUCUCUAUUGAUUUAGGUGCAAACUAUCUAUCCAUUGCCAGAUUUUGGCCAGCUAACAAAAAACAUACAGUGAUGAAUGCUUUUGUGGCUUGUGUCUUGUGGAGCAUAUGGAAAAUUAGAAAUAACCAUGUGUUUAACAACGCUGUCUGGUCUGACUUGAAACAGAUAUGGUGGCUAGUCUGGAGAACACUCAAAAGAUGGAUGAUCCUGUACAAAGGGGAGUGUAACAUCCUGAUUCUCGGAAUGUUUAAGAAAAAGUUUUCCAAAAAUCAGGGCGGGAAAAUUUCAUUUGUUUUAUUUGUUAAUAAAAGCUUAAAUUGA